rnacentral:rRNA from 1 species
UUGAACGCUGGCGGCAGGCCUAACACAUGCAAGUCGCGCGGAUGAAGGGAGCUUGCUCCUGGAUUCAGCGGCGGACGGGUGAGUAAUGCCUAGGAAUCUGCCUGGUAGUGGGGGAUAACGUCCGGAAACGGGCGCUAAUACCGCAUACGUCCUGAGGGAGAAAGUGGGGGAUCUUCGGACCUCACGCUAUCAGAUGAGCCUAGGUCGGAUUAGCUAGUUAGUGGGGUAAAGGCCUACCAAGGCGACGAUCCGUAACUGGUCUGAGAGGAUGAUCAGUCACACUGGAACUGAGACACGGUCCAGACUCCUACGGGAGGCAGCAGUGGGGAAUAUUGGACAAUGGGCGAAAGCCUGAUCCAGCCAUGCCGCGUGUGUGAAGAAGGUCUUCGGAUUGUAAAGCACUUUAAGUUGGGAGGAAGGGCAGUAAGUUAAUACCUUGCUGUUUUGACGUUACCAACAGAAUAAGCACCGGCUAACUUCGUG